UUUAUAUAAUAACGAUAUGAUCAAAUACUCUCCUCUUGGCGUGCUAUCAUUUGCCAAAAUCUCAUUUUGAUAUCUGAAACCAUUUAUGAAAUAUGAGGAAUGUUGUGGAUAUUUCACUCUAGCUUUAUCGCUGGCACAGCGCCAUCACAAAUGGGUGUGCUCCACCAGAUCCGUUUUCUCGAUAUUGGUGACAGUUGGCAGGGCAAGAACCAAAAAUCCGAAGAUGAAGGAACCACUUCAUGGCAUUCACUUCAGAGUUGUUCCAGAGAUUCCACAGGCAGUAGACCAUUCCAUUCGCACCAUCAACAGAACAGACUAUGCUAACAGUAUACACCUUUGACAUCAUUGACAACUUGUUCUACCAAUGCUGGUGACUACUUUGAAGGACAGUAACAGGUGCAAAAUAUAUAUGACCUCACUUGUGGGAGAAGAUACAAUGGAAGAAAUAUCCAAGUCAUUGUAGAGCAGUUGCAGUUUGCAUCAAAACAAAGAAAACGGUGAAGUUUAUAUGUAUUAGUAUUGGACUUCCUGGAACUGUAGCACAACGAACCAAGGAAAAAAGAAUGUGGCUUGGACAGAUCUUAAAUGCACUGU